AGCAGCCGCGGUAAUUCCAGCUCCAAUAGCGUAUAUUAAAGUUGUUGCAGUUAAAAAGCUCGUAGUUGAAUUUCGGGAUCAAUAUGUUGGUCGUGCCAUUGGUACGUACUGGUAUCAUUGAUUUCUCCUUUCUGACGAACCAUGAUGUCAUUAAUUUGGUGUUAUGGGGAGUUAGGACUGUUACUUCGAAAAAAUUAGAGUGUUUAAAGCGGGCAUUAGCUUGAAUACAUUAGCAUGGAAUAAUGAAAUAGGACGUUUGACCCUAUUUUGUUGGUUUCUAGGAUCGACGUAAUGAUUAAUAGGGAUAGUUGGGGGCAUUAGUAUUCAAUUGUCAGAGGUGAAAUUCUUGGAUUUAUUGAAGACUAACUACUGCGAAAGCAUUUGCCAAGGAUGUUUUCAUUAAUCAAGAACGAAAGUUAGGGGAUCGAAGACGAUCAGAUACCGUCGUAGUCUUAACCAUAAACUAUGCC
rnacentral:rRNA from 1 species